rnacentral:lncRNA from 1 species
AAGGGUAGUCUUAGUUAAUUAAUUUUCAUAAUCUAGAAUAAUCAGUCAACAAGAUUUUGUUUAAAUUGAUUGGAUGCCCAGUUGUCAAAGGGCUUGUUUGCUGUAAUAUCAAGUUUUGUAUAUAAUGGAUUUAGAAAAAGUAAAAGAUACCGGCCACUGGUUGGAUAUCUAAAAAGAGGAAGCAUGCUGAUAGGGAGGAAAUAUAUCUCGGAUAGAUUUAUGUUGAGUUGAUGCUGGCAGUGACAUGCAUGUCUUCUGUGAUACCUUGUGCAUCAUAGAGUAAUGACCCAAUAUUGCCCUUUGGUA